AGUGAACGCUGGCGGUAGGCCUAACACAUGCAAGUCGAACGGCAGCACAGUAAGAGCUUGCUCUUACGGGUGGCGAGUGGCGGACGGGUGAGGAAUACAUCGGAAUCUACUUUUUCGUGGGGGAUAACGUAGGGAAACUUACGCUAAUACCGCAUACGACCUACGGGUGAAAGCAGGGGAUCUUCGGACCUUGCGCGAUUGAAUGAGCCGAUGUCGGAUUAGCUAGUUGGCGGGGUAAAGGCCCACCAAGGCGACGAUCCGUAGCUGGUCUGAGAGGAUGAUCAGCCACACGGGAACUGAGACACGGUCCAGACUCCUACGGGAGGCAGCAGAGGGGAAUAUUGGACAAUGGGCGAAAGCCUGAUCCAGCCAUACCGCGUGGGUGAAGAAGGCCGUCGGGUUGUAAAGCCCUUUUGUUGGGAAAGAAAAGCAGCAGGUUAAUACCCCGCUGUUCUGACGGUACCCAAAGAAUAAGCACCGGCUAACUUCGUG
rnacentral:rRNA from 1 species